UACGUAGGGCGCAAGCGUUGUCCGGAAUUAUUGGGCGUAAAGAGCUCGUAGGCGGCUUGUCGCGUCGAUUGUGAAAGCCCGGGGCUUAACUCCGGGUCUGCAGUCGAUACGGGCAGGCUAGAGUGUGGUAGGGGAGAUCGGAAUUCCUGGUGUAGCGGUGAAAUGCGCAGAUAUCAGGAAGAACACCCGUGGCGAAAGCGGCUCUCUGGGCAGUAACUGACGCUGAGGAGCGAAAGCGUGGGUAGCGAACAGG
rnacentral:rRNA from 1 species